rnacentral:rRNA from 1 species
CAGCAGCCGCCGCGGUAAUACGAAGGGUGCAAGCGUUAAUCGGAAUUACUGGGCGUAAAGCGUGCGUAGGCGGUUUGUUAAGUCUGCUGUGAAAUCCCCGGGCUCAACCUGGGAAUGGCAGUGGAUACUGGCAAGCUAGAGUGUGUCAGAGGAUGGUGGAAUUCCCGGUGUAGCGGUGAAAUGCGUAGAGAUCGGGAGGAACAUCAGUGGCGAAGGCGGCCAUCUGGGACAACACUGACGCUGAGGCACGAAAGCGUGGGGAGCAAACAGGAUUAGAUACCCCAGUAGUCCCUGUCUCUUAUAC